rnacentral:rRNA from 1 species
GAUGAACGCUGGCGGCGUGCCUAAUACAUGCAAGUCGAGCGAACAGACGAGGAGCUUGCUCCUUUGACGUUAGCGGCGGACGGGUGAGUAACACGUGGGUAACCUACCUAUAAGACUGGGAUAACUUCGGGAAACCGGAGCUACUACCGGAUAAUAUUUCGAACCGCAUGGUUCGAUAGUGAAAGAUGGCUCUGCUAUCACUUAUAGAUGGACCUGCGCCGUAUUAGCUAGUUGGUAAGGUAACGGCUUACCAAGGCAACGAUACGUAGCCGACCUGAGAGGGUGAUCGGCCACACUGGAACUGAGACACGGUCCAGACUCCUACGGGAGGCAGCAGUAGGGAAUCUUCCGCAAUGGGCGAAAGCCUGACGGAGCAACGCCGCGUGAGUGAUGAAGGUCUUCGGAUCGUAAAACUCUGUUAUUAGGGAAGAACAAACGUGUAAGUAACUGUGCACGUCUUGACGGUACCUAAUCAGAAAGCCACGGCUAACUACGUG